AGCAGCCGCGGUAAUUCCAGCUCCAAUAGCGUAUAUUAAAGUUGUUGCAGUUAAAAAGCUCGUAGUUGAAUUUCGGGAUCAAUAUGUUGGUCGUGCCUUGGUACGUACUGGCAUUAUCGAUUCCUACCUUCUGAAGAACCUCGAUGUCAUUAAUUUGGUGUCUUGGGGAAUCAGGACUGUUACUUUGAAAAAAUUAGAGUGUUUAAAGCAGGCUCGCGCUUGAAUACAUUAGCAUGGAAUAAUGAAAUAGGACGUUUGAUUCUAUUUUGUUGGUUUCUAGGAUCGACGUAAUGAUUAAUAGGGAUAGUUGGGGGCAUUAGUAUUCAAUUAUCAGAGGUGAAAUUCUUGGAUUAUUGGAAGACUAACUACUGCGAAAGCAUUUGCCAAGGAUGUUUUCAUUAAUCAAGAACGAAAGUUAGGGGAUCGAAGACGAUCAGAUACCGUCGUAGUCUUAACCAUAAACUAUGCCGACUAGGGAUCGGAUGAUGUUAAUUUUUUAAUGACUCAUUCGGCGCCUUAC
rnacentral:misc_RNA from 1 species